UUGGUGUAUCCUCGCUCAUAGCUCCUCAGAGAUCACAAGUAAGAGCUUUGGGACGGCCUGCAAGAUGGCGGAGUGGAACAACCUCCGGUUCAAGCGAGGACCGAGGAGCGAGGAAACGACGAAUAAGAGACUUGAGAAGCACCCAUGGAACCCUCUGUGAUGUUUAUCAGUCUGCUGCCCGUCUGCUCUGUGUUUUGGUUGAUUCCAAGGUUCCCUGUUUGGAGUGGCGUGAUGUUCUGUCCUUUACAGAGCACCUUGUAUUAAGUGGUUCAAUUGGUCGGCUUGUGGUGGAGGCUAGGCACGCUAGUAUGGGUCCCUUCACCAAUUGUAGUGUUAACAGCACUGGGGCACGAUUGGGGACACGAUUUGCAGUGAACCGGUUUGCAGUGACUAUUGAUUGCAGUGGACCACUCCGACCUUUUGUUUCUUUAAUAAUAUACAGCAAUAAUUGGGAGUGUGCUUUAUUAAAAAGAAGUAACCUGUUUGCCGAAAUUGUAAUAAACUUCCAUAUUCCAUUGUAAUUU